UUUCCGUAGGUGAACCUGCGGAAGGAUCAUUACUGAGUGAGGGCCCCGCGGGGUCCAACCUCCCACCCGUGUUUAACGAACCUUGUUGCUUCGGCGGGCCCGCCUCACGGCCGCCGGGGGGCAUCUGCCCCCGGGCCCGCGCCCGCCGAAGCCACCUGUGAACGCUGUCUGAAGUAUGCAGUCUGAGACAAUUAUUAAAUUAAUUAAAACUUUCAACAACGGAUCUCUUGGUUCCGGCAUCGAUGAAGACGCAGC
rnacentral:misc_RNA from 1 species